UACGUAGGGGGUCGAGCGUUUGUCCGGAGUUACUGGGCGUAAAGCGUGCGCAGGCGGUUUGCUAAGACAGGUGUGAAAAUCCCCCGGGCUUAACCUGGGAACUGCGCUUGUAACUGGCAAGCUGGAGUGUGGCAGAGGGGGGGUGGAAUUCCACGUGUAGCAGUGAAAUGCGUAGAGAUGUGGAGGAACACCGAUGGCGAAGGCAGCCCCCUGGGCUAACACUGACGCCUCAUGCACGAAAGCGUGGGGGAGCAAACAGG
rnacentral:rRNA from 1 species